rnacentral:rRNA from 1 species
AUACGUAGGGGGCGAGCGUUGUCCGGAAUGAUUGGGCGUAAAGGGCGCGUAGGCGGCGCGGUAAGUCUGGAGUGAAAGUCCUGCUUUCAAGGUGGGAAUUGCUUUGAAUACUGUCGGGCUUGAGUGCAGGAGAGGUAAGUGGAAUUCCCAGUGUAGCGGUGAAAUGCGUAGAGAUUGGGAGGAACACCAGUGGCGAAGGCGACUUACUGGACUGUAACUGACGCUGAGGCGCGAAAGUGUGGGGAGCAAACAGGAUUAGAUACCCUGGUAGUCCACACUGUAAACGAUGAAUGCUAGGUGUAGGGGGUAUCGACCCCUUCUGUGCCGCAGUCAACACAAUAAGCAUUCCGCCUGGGGAGUACGGCCGCAAGGUUGAAACUCAAAGGAAUUGACGGGG